AACGAACGCUGGCGGCAUGCCUAACACAUGCAAGUCGAACGAGACCUUCGGGUCUUGUGGCGCACGGGUGCGUAACGCGUGGGAACCUGCCCUUAGGUUCGGAAUAACUCCCCGAAAGGGGUGCUAAUACCGGAUAAUGUCUUCGGACCAAAGAUUUAUCGCCUUUGGAUGGGCCCGCGUUGGAUUAGCUUGUUGGUAGGGUAAAAGCCUACCAAGGCGACGAUCCAUAGCUGGUCUGAGAGGAUGAUCAGCCACACUGGGACUGAGACACGGCCGAGACUCCUACGGGAGGCAGCAGUGGGGAAUAUUGGACAAUGGGAGAAAGCCUGAACCAGCAAUGCCGCGUGAGUGAUGAAGGCCUUAGGGUAGUAAAGCUCUUUUACCCGGGAAGAUAAUGACAGUACCGGGAGAAUAAGCUACGGCUAACUCCGUG
rnacentral:rRNA from 1 species